UACGUAGGGUGCAAGCGUUAAUCGGAAUUACUGGGCGUAAAGCGUGCGCAGGCGGUUCGGAAAGAAAGAUGUGAAAUCCCAGGGCUUAACCUUGGAACUGCAUUUUUAACUACCGGGCUAGAGUGUGUCAGAGGGGGGUGGAAUUCCGCGUGUAGCAGGUGAAAUGCGUAGAGAUGCGGAGGAACACCGAUGGCGAAGGCAGCCCCCCUGGGCCAACACUGACGCUCAUGCACGAAAGCGUGGGGAGCAAACAGG
rnacentral:rRNA from 1 species